UCCUCAUAUUACUCUCUACUUCUAUCUCUCUGUGUCUCAUGUAGCUCGUUGCCCCUUUCUUCUUCUCUUUCAAAUUUUACUUCUCACAAAUUACUUUCUCCCUUUCUGCCUCUUUGUAUCUUAAAUCACCCUUUUUCAUCUCAUUCUCCAAAAAAUUGUUACUAAAUCCUCUUUUUCCCACAUUCACCCAACAAAUUAUGAGUGUUUGUUGCCGGAUAACAAAUAACAAAGAAAAGAGGAACCGUUGUCACUUUGAGGUUAUAAAAGUAAAUCUGCUAAUGAAUUUAUUAUUUGGGUGCCUUACAAAGCUAUCAUGGACACUUUGCCCAAUUUUUGUACAAACAGUCAACAUAUUUGGUGGACGAUAAGCCCUUUCAUAUUUUUUCACAUUAGUGAGUGGCAUUUUCCUAACAGGGUGAUCCGACAAUUUGGUCUCCAAUAGGAUAUCAUAUCAGAAUGCAAUACUAAACCUCUAUUGUAUGACACCAAUCUAAGAAUUGGAGAUUGAUAUGAAAAAGUUGCACAUUUGGUAGUGCAAUGAUACUAUCGUACAAGGUUUAUUGCAACGGGGUAUCCAAUUGGAAAAUUUGAUAGGGAUGCAGCUCAAAAUUACAUCAAUUGGUACAAUAUGAUUACAAGGCGCUACAUUACUCGUCCGAGAACAAUUGUGGGUCAUCUGAGACCAAUACAACAGUCGCCUUUGUGAUGUUGCAAAUUAUCCAAAUCAAGUCUUUACUAUAUGCAGUAAUAACGAGAGCUAUAUGGAGGAGAUACAUUAUAUGUACAAUAUAUCUAUUGCUCCUCUACUAGUUCCUAGGCGUAGGGAACAUGCUUGAGUAGAAGAAGAUGAGUUCGAUGAGGUUAACCACAAUGUGGAAGAAUUUCCUCCUACGACGCAGAUGUAGAGCCAUACUUGUUAUGUUAGUCUGAUGAUGAUGAUGCCACAUUUUGGUUCAGGAUAUUAUGAUUCAGAGGCUGGUCUAUCAUCUUCAUACAUGCAUGGACAUGGGCGUGAUUGUGGAGAGCAUAAUGAACAUUUAUACUAUGAAGCGCAUGUAGAUGUAAAGAGCUACCAGAGCAACAUUAAGAGAAACCAAAACAAUAUAAAGAGGAACCAAAGUAACCUAGAGUCAAAUUCGACGAU